AUUGAACGCUGGCGGCAGGCCUAACACAUGCAAGUCGAGCGGAGCGGCGGACGGGUGAGUAAUGCCUAGGAAUCUGCCUGGUAGUGGUGGAUAAAGUCCGGAAACGGGCGCUAAUACCGCAUACUAUCAGAUGAGACUAGGUGGGAUUAGCUAUUGGGUGUGUUAAAGGCCUACCAAGGCGACGAUCCGUAACUGGUCUGAGAGGAUGAUCAGUCACACUGGAACUGAGACACGGUCCAGACUCCUACGGGAGGCAGCAGUGGGGAAGUUUGGACAAUGGGCGAAAGCCUGAUCCAGCCAUGCCGCGUGUGUGAAGAAGGUCUUCGGAUUGUAAAGCACUUUAAGUAGGGAGGCGUUACCAACAGAAUAAGCACCGGCUAACUUCGUGCCAGCAGCCGCGGUAAUAC
rnacentral:rRNA from 1 species